rnacentral:rRNA from 1 species
AUUGAACGCUGGCGGCAUGCUUUACACAUGCAAGUCGAACGGCAGCGCGGGCUUCGUCCUGGCGGCGAGUGGCGAACGGGUGAGUAUAACAUGGGAACGUCCCACGUAUGGGGGUAUGGCUCGUCCAAGGCCGGAUGAAUACCACAUACUACCGGCGGGUGAAGCCGGGGGUUCUUCGGACCUCGCCCUAUGGGGGGGACGGAUGCGGGGUUGGUUAGUUGGUGGGGUAAGGGCCUACCAAGCCGCGGAUUGGUAGCUGGUCUGAGAGGACGACCGGCCACACUGGGACUGAGACGGGGCCCAGACUCCUACGGGAGGCAGCAGUGGGGAACUUUGGACAAUGGGCGAAAGCCUGAUCCAGCAAUGGCGAGUGUGUGAUGAAGGCCUUCGGGUUGUAAAGAACUUUUGGCGGGAACGAAAAGGACUGGGCCAAUACCACGGUUGGAUGACGGUAACCGGAGAAUAAGCACCGGCUAACUACGUG